rnacentral:lncRNA from 1 species
AUGAGAACAUCUUAAAAACUUUCUCUUGAACUAUUUAAUGUUCACCUGGAUUUGUUAGCUGUAUCCAUAAAUUCUUACUUACCUAAGGCAAAGCACUAAAGCUUUGAUCUUUGCUAUAUUGAUCUUCAGAAAGGCUAUGCACAUGUGCUUUUCCAUGUAUCCAAGAACAUGACUUAACAGGAGUGAUAAAGCUAUUAGAUUCACUAAACAGAGAAAUUGAAUCACAGUACAAGAUAGCUGUAAAAGUAACAGACUUGGACAACGAUGCCAUCCCUGACCCCCUCAGACAGAGAAGUGGUACUGCUCAGGUGACCAUCAGUGUUCUGAAUAUGAAUGAUGAGCCUCCUGUAUGCAAUCCACCACAUUUGGAAACUCAAAUUUAUUCCACUGUUGAGUCCUUUCAUUCAGCUCAACUGUUUAGCAAAGAUUCUCCACAGGAACAUCUGAGCUAUUCAAUUGUAGGAGAUUACUACUUCUGUAUUAAUAAAGAUUUCAUAUUAUUGGAUCCCUGAUAACUGGAUUCCUGCAUUAUUAACAGGAGCUCUUUUUGUGAUGUGCCUCUAUACUAUUGCAUGGUGCCUCUUCAAAGAGUAAGAUUUUAAUUGCUGUUUCUAUUUGAAUUUGUUCAUGGCUCAUAAAGUCCAUCAACGAUGCCUUAAAAAGAGCAGGAUGAAAGUAGAAAGAAGAGAUUGGAGAAAAUGUCAUUGAGCAGCUAUUACUUUAAGAAGUGCUUUACUGAUGUUAUCCGUGCUGAUAAUCACAACAAUGUGACAGGAAUACAAUAACUAUUUGACAGUAAGACAGGAGAAGUCAAGAUGUUGAACAAUUAAGAAAAGAAUGUGAUGCCAAUGGAAGACACUUGACUUUAACCAGCAUAAAGGUCACCAUAUCUUCAUGUCACUUGCUUUCUUUGAAAAGAUACAAGUGUUACACCUGGAAAC